rnacentral:rRNA from 1 species
UUAUGUGAUCGUCUCUCGCAUAUCAAUAAGCGGAGGAAAAGAAACUAACAAGGAUUCCCCUAGUAACGGCGAGUGAAGCGGGAAGAGCUCAAAUUUGAAAUCUUAAAGGGUUUCCCUUUACGAAUUGUAGUUUAAAGAAGUGUUUUCUGUUGAGGUUUUGGUAAAAGUUCUUUGGAAUAGGACAUCAUAGAGGGUGAGAAUCCCGUAUUUGACCUUUACUUUCAACUUUGUGAUACACUUUCAAAGAGUCGGAUUGUUUGGGAAUGCAGUCCAAAAUGGGUGGUAAAUUUCAUCUAAAGCUAAAUAUUGGCGAGAGACCGAUAGCGAACAAGUACCGUGAGGGAAAGAUGAAAAGAACUUUGAAAAGAGAGUUAAACAGUACGUGAAAUUGUCAAAAGGGAAGCGUUUGACACCAGUGUUGUUUUUCUGAAAAUCAAUUAAAGAACUGUUUAUGCUAAGCUGUUUAGACUUUAUCAGCUAACUGUUUAGUUUUGAGCUUUUCCUUAAUGCACUUUUCAGUUAACAAGUCAACAUCAAUUUCUUUUGCUGUAAAAAAGCUUGAGGAAGGUGGCUUGAGAUUCGUCUUAAGUGUUUAUAGCCUCUUGCCUAUGCAGUCGGAGAGAUUGAGGUCUGCAGCGUAGAUCCUUCGGGGCUAAAUGCAUUUGUGCUAAGUAUAGCAUUUUAUAGACAACUUGUUGACUAUGAUUUGUCUUGUAGCUUACUCGCUUAUGUUAUUUUACCUACGCUUAGGAUGUUGAAGACUCUACAGAGAUA